UCUGGUUCUGGAUGAGUGGCGAACGGGUGAGUAACACGUGAGUAACCUGCCCCCUUCUUCUGGAUAACCGCAUGAAAGUGUGGCUAAUACGGGAUAUUCUGCGCCUGCUGCAUGGUGGGUGUGGGAAAGAUAUUGUUUCGGUGGGGGAUGGGCUCGCGGCCUAUCAGCUUGUUGGUGGGGUGAUGGCCUACCAAGGCGGUGACGGGUAGCCGGCCUGAGAGGGUGGACGGUCACACUGGGACUGAGACACGGCCCAGACUCCUACGGGAGGCAGCAGUGGGGAAUAUUGCACAAUGGGCGCAAGCCUGAUGCAGCGACGCCGCGUGAGGGAUGGAGGCCUUCGGGUUGUGAACCUCUUUCGCCAGUGAAGCAGGCCUGUCCCUUUUGUGGGUGGGUUGACGGUAGCUGGAUAAGAAGCGCCGGCUAACUACGUGCCAGCAGCCGCGGUAAUACGUAGGGCGCGAGCGUUGUCCGGAAUUAUUGGGCGUAAAGAGCUCGUAGGCGGCUGGUCGCGUCUGUCGUGAAAUCCUCUGGCUUAACUGGGGGCUUGCGGUGGGUACGGGCCGGCUUGAGUGCGGUAGGGGAGACUGGAACUCCUGGUGUAGCGGUGGAAUGCGCAGAUAUCAGGAAGAACACCGGUGGCGAA
rnacentral:rRNA from 1 species